GAUGAACGCUAGCGGCAGGCCUAACACAUGCAAGUCGAGGGGUAGCAGGAUUAAGCUUGCUUAAUUGCUGACGACCGGCGCACGGGUGCGUAACGCGUAUGCAACCUACCUUAUACUGGGGUAUAGCCCGGAGAAAUUCGGAUUAAUCCCCCAUAGUACUAAUGAAUCGCAUGGUUUAUUAGUUAAAGCAUUGCGGUAUAAGAUGGGCAUGCGUCCUAUUAGCUAGAUGGUGAGGUAACGGCUCACCAUGGCUACGAUAGGUAGGGGGCCUGAGAGGGUGGUCCCCCACACUGGUACUGAGACACGGACCAGACUCCUACGGGAGGCAGCAGUGAGGAAUAUUGGGCAAUGGAGGCAACUCUGACCCAGCCAUGCCGCGUGCAGGAAGACGGUCCUCUGGAUUGUAAACUGCUUUUGAAUGGGAAGAAUGUGCUUCUUGCGAGGAGUAAUGACGGUACCAUUAGAAUAAGCCACGGCUAACUACGUGCCAGCAGCCGCGGUAA
rnacentral:rRNA from 1 species